GUGGGGAAUUUUGCGCAAUGGGGGAAACCCUGACGCAGCAACGCCGCGUGAGUGAUGAAGGCCUUCGGGUCGUAAAGCUCUGUCAGAGGGGAAGAAGUGUGAGGUGGCUAAUAUCCAUUUCACUUGACGGUACCUUCAAAGGAAGCACCGGCUAACUCCGUGCCAGCAGCCGCGGUAAUACGGAGGGUGCGAGCGUUGUUCGGAAUUAUUGGGCGUAAAGCGCGUGUAGGCGGUUUUUUAAGUCUGAUGUGAAAGCCCUGGGCUCAACCCGGGAAGUGCAUUGGAAACUGGGAGACUUGAAUACGGGAGAGGGCAGUGGAAUUCCUGGUGUAGGAGUGAAAUCCAUAGAUAUCAGGAGGAACACCGGUGGCGAAGGCGGCUGCCUGGACCGAUAUUGACGCUGAGACGCGAAAGCGUGGGGAGCAAACAGGAUUAGAAACCCCGGUAGUCC
rnacentral:rRNA from 1 species